CUGCUGCUGUCACUGCUACUGCUGCUGUCACUGCUGCUGCUGCUGUCAACAGCUCGGGGAGGACGAGGAUGACGACAGCGACAAGGGAAAACCAGCCACUCUCUCCUUAAAUGAAUGUCACAGAUGUGUUAGAGGGAUGGGUCGUCUCGAAAAGGCCCGACUUGGACUUCCAAGUGGAAAUUGAUGUCAUCCUGAAGCUCUGCUGCCAAAACGCUGCUGCUGCUGCUGCUGCUGCUGCUGCUGAGGGAGUCUAUCAUUAUGUCGACUUCAGUCCAGGAGACAAACUGCUCAACGGGAGCAGGGGAGAAAAAGUAGCCGUGACGUCCAGGACACUCACAGUGUUUCCACGCUCGCUGAAGUGGAGCCGACACUUAGGUUCAGAGCAGCAGCCAAAGAUUGUUUUCAGUAAGUAACUCAUCUGUUGUUAGAUUUCACCCUAAAACCCUCACAAUGAUGAUGUUACCAAGACUGUCCUCUAGGGGUCGGGGGGGGGAGAAUCCAUACAGGAUUAAAUUGCUUUAUUUUGCUUGACAAUUUUUUCAACUGAUUCAAGUGUUCGUGGAUUAUAAUACAAAAGGAAAAAGGAAAACUUACAAUUCAGUCCACUAGGUGGUGCCAAGUACAGUGUGGGACGCGUCGCUAACAUUCCACCAUUAACGAUAACGACUUACAUUCAGUGUUCGUACGUUCCACCGUCACCAAAUUACACUUCUGUCUAUUUUGGAUCGAGCUCAAUAAAAUACAACGACUCCUCCUCCUCAACGUUCGCCAUGUUUGUUGAUACCUGAGACGUGGUCAGUACUCGGCACUGCCCUCCAGAGGAAGCAUCGCGCAUACCAACGCAAAAGACGCACGGACGUUUGUAGGAGUAGAAAAACGGACAGAAAUAAGAGGAGCAGUCACUGGUGUUUGUAUAAUUGAAGUAGUUAAAUCUACCUGGAUCUACAAAAACAUCACCUGAUAGCCACACACACUGGUUUACACCAGGAAACGUGGUUUAGUCACCAACACGGACUCAUUCAUAUACAAUAGGAGGCUAAAAGUACAUGUCUGUUCUAAACGGACACAUGUUUGACGAUCGAUUGGUGUUUUCUGAUCAAUGUCAGGUUGUCAGAAUAAUAAUGAAUAAGCAGAGGAGGCGAGCACGCAGAGGAAAUAAAAGUCUCUAAACAGCUUCAUGUUUGACAUUCCUAACCUUACUGUCAUCAUCGUUUCCUCCAUUAAAGGAGUGAGUGGGAAGCUGGGGGGUGUUUCUUCUGGCAGGAAAAUGUGGGGGAAUUCUGGACCAGGUCCUUCACUGAGAGAUGCUCAGGACAUGUUCUGACAUGAUUCAAGGGCAUCCUCUCAAUUGAAGGUACAAAAACACUGCCCCCUGCUGGACAGUUAGACGCAUAGCACAGGAGAGGAGAGGAGCAACUCCAGAGUGGAUUUUCAUGUCUGUCAUGUGACCCGAGUCCAUCGGACGUGCUGGUGUGCUGUGGCUCCACCUGACAUGAGUUUAAUGUAAUAAUAAAACCACUCUCAUGAGUAUUGUAGUCUCUACCUGCCACGCCGACCUGGUGAGUGGCAAACCCCGGCAGUCUGCUCUCGCCGUCUCCCAGCCACAGAGCGAGGACGGCGUGGUGGUGCCUGGCGUGGUGGAAGGUGAAGCCGUGAGCGGAAGCUGCGGCGGCACAUCGACUCAGUGAGAUGGGAACCCGGAGCCACACUGCUACCUUCCCCUCUGCUUUCCACCGCACCAGAGACUCUGAGUUCAUGAUAUGAAGAGAAUCAGACCAGACAUGUGACUGAGUGAAGACAGAAACAUAGACUUAAAGGAUCAGGAUUUAUUGACGACAGGAACACAGGCCAUGUGGCCUUCACUGUCGCUGCGUGGACUAAAUCAAGCAUGGGGCUGUUCAAAAGAUACAUAAAUAAGUUAAUAUUACAUGAAUUCAGUUGCUGGUCAAAGAAAAUAAAGAUAUCUGACUCAA